rnacentral:rRNA from 1 species
GUACCUACGGGAGGCAGCAGUGGGGGAUAUUGCACAAUGGGGGAAACCCUGAUGCAGCGACGCCGCGUGAGUGAAGAAGCAUUUCGGUGUGUAAAGCUCUAUCAGCAGGGAAGAAGAAAUGACGGUACCCGACCAAGAAGCCCCGGCUAACUACGUGCCAGCAGCCGCGGUAAUACGUAGGGGGCGAGCGUUAUCCGGAAUUACUGGGUGUAAAGGGAGCGUAGACGGCGAGGUAAGCCUGAAGCGGAAGCCCGCGGCCCAACCGCGGAACUGCUUUGGGAACUGUUUUGCUGGAGUAUGGGAGG